CCUACGGGAGGCAGCAGUGGGGAAUAUUGCGCAAUGGGCGAAAGCCUGACGCAGCAACGCCGCGUGAGGGAUGACGGCCUUCGGGUUGUAAACCUCUUUCAGCAGGGAAGAAGCGAAAGUGACGGUACCUGCAGAAGAAGCACCGGCUAACUACGUGC
rnacentral:rRNA from 1 species